rnacentral:lncRNA from 1 species
GAGAAAGAGUGAGAGCGUACGAGAGAGGAGGGGGGGGAAGAGAGAGAGAGAGAGAAAUUUGACAAAUGAAAAAAUGUUUCCAUAAACUACUUGUGCCAAUUGUUUCUAUAAACCAGCAAUCUCAAAACCAGCCAGUUGUUUGCAGGCAAAGAAUUAUAUUAAGCCAUCUGUAAGAUGGUAUAUGAAUAUAAACCUAAACCUAGAAUGAAUGUGAAGAUUGAAACCUAGAGAUGUCAAGAUAUGAUUGGCCAAUAUACAAAGGUGUAAAGGGUUCAUUGGGCAAGGGAUUAGGG